CCACAGGAACCACCGGGGAGCAGAAAGCAGAGCCAACAAGCCUAGGACUGGAUACAUUGGAAACUAAAUUGGGCCUGAGGAGAGCCCUUUCAGGUUGAGGAGCGCAGCUCUCUCAUUCUGGUCCCCGGACACCAGCAUCAGCAGGAGCGUACGUCCUCAUCGACUCAUCAGAGUAUGGCAUCUCAAGGCUGCAGUCGGGCCAUCACCUGCUUACUCUGCCUGGGAGUCAAGGAGGACCAGGAAGAGCAGCAGGAUAUGAACGCACAGAUGAUCUUUCAGGCUGGAGAGGGGAGAGAGAAGAAAGGUGUACGGGGCCAACCUGGAGUGGGAGGAGUGGGAGCAGACAGUGAAGGAGAAGAAUUAAAAGGAGAAAAAGGAGGCCCCUUUGGUCCUGAUGCUCCAGGUCCUGUGGGUGAUGGGAAGAAGAAUGGUGGCACCAGCGGAAGUGGCGUGGAGCAAGAGCAAAUGGAGCUGGUUGCUGAGGGUACGGAGAGCCAGAAAAGCCUAAAGCCUCCGGAGAGGUCAAUGGCCCGCCACCAACUUCGGUUCACCCAGCGGCAGCUGGAGCAAUGGGAGACCAUUCUCCAGCACAGUUGAGCCAGCAAGGAAGGAUCUCGCAAGAUGGAUGGGUGUAAGUGAGUCCUGAAUGUAGGACUAAUUUAAGAUUAGGAGCAUUGCACACAGAAAAAAUGGGAGGAGGACCAGAAAUGCACCAUCUGGGCCCUAGAACAUCUGUCUCUGAAGAUUUCAGUGUCACCCUAGUCCCGGAGCAAGAUGGGAAUGGCUUCUUCUUGUGCCACCAACAUCUCAACUGCCUAUGCUGACCACAGCCACCGUUACUUCUCAGCCAUUCUUUUAGCAAUAAAGAGGCGGAUUCUCAAUAUGUUUGUUCCAUUGCCUUUGCGAUCUCUAAAAUAUUGUUGUAAAUACCUUAGUGAUUCUAGUAUUAUAGAA